GUUUUUAGGUUAUGUGACUGCAUUAUCAGCCAGUUCAAUCUGAUGAUAUCUAAAUCCUAGGUAUCAAUCGUGUGCUAAACUGGUUUUCGGUGCCUCUUGGCUCCCCCUCCAAGAAGGAGAACCUGUUUGCCAGCAACAACUGACCGUUGCAACAGUGUUGAAAGAAAUGGUAGCCCUUUUUUGGGAAGUAGCGGAGCCACACCCCUAAAGGUUUGCAAAUCAGACCUCGAAGCCAUUUUCGAGAUGAUCCUUCUGCAGGUUCACCUACAGAAA
rnacentral:misc_RNA from 1 species